CGUUCCCCAGGCCCUGCCUGCCCAGCCUGCCCCUAACUCCCCGCAGGCCCCCAGGGAACUGGAGAGGGUGGAGAGGUGCCCCCACCUCCCGUUCCAGUGUUGACUGUGUGACUUGCUUCUUAGGGUGAACCUGGCGUGAAGGGGGAAGAAGGAGAGAAAGCCGCCACUGCAGAGGGCGAGGGGGUGCAGCAGCUGAGAGAGGCCCUGAAGAUCCUGGCAGAGCGAGUCCUCAUCCUGGAGCACAUGAUUGGGAUCCACGAUCCCCUGGCCUCCCCAGAGGGAGGUUCUGGCCAGGAUGCUGCCCUGAGAGCCAACCUCAAGAUGAAGAGGGGUGGCGCCCAACCCGAUGGGGUCCUUGCUGCCCUGCUUGGGCCCGACCCUGGACAGAAGAGCGUGGACCAGGCCAGCAGCAGGAAGUGAGAGCCCACUGCUCCAGGACACCCUGUCCUGGCUAGAGACCCAGCCCCAGAGGCCUGAGCCGCCGCUGUUUCCUAAAGAUGCCCCCAGGGGAACUGGGCUCCAG
rnacentral:sRNA from 1 species